GUCCCAAACAGGAUGAAACGCGCGUCCUGGAU
rnacentral:hammerhead_ribozyme from 1 species